CCUUUUGGUGAGUUUUGUAGAAGGCUUUUUUGUGCUGUCCAGCAGCGAACUCUAGUGGUCGCCUCGCGACAUGGUUUUUUGUUUUUCUAGCCAAUUCAAUAUGGCUGCACGACGUCUCUGGCUGAAGCCUAAGUUGCAACGUUGUGCUCACAUGAUCCUUGGACAAGAUUUGUCCUUUUACGACGGUCCGGAAAGGACAAUGGUUUAAGGCCAUUCCAUUAAUAAAUCAGAUAAAACCAAAGGAAGAAGUCUGUUUAUUAAAGCGUCGUUCACUAGCCGUCUAGCUUGGAAAAAAGUAGACGCUUCCGAGUGAGGACAGCAUAGUAAAAGGACAUCAGCGCGGCGGGAUCAACUACGACGCAACACACAACAAUGAGCCUACGGUCAGAAAAACACCUGGAUUCUACAGACGAAGGAGCAACGCCAAGGCAACAACAAAGACAAGUGGAAAACAGAGACUAUGCAGACAAUACAGAGAACAAGGAUAACGCAAGCAAUGCAGACUCACAGGUCAGGUCUAUACGCACGCAUACAUCCAAGAGUUCAUCUACUAGUUCAUCUACUAGUUCUGCAGCACUAAAGGCGCGAGCAAAAGCAGUAGCCGCACGUGCACAGUUGGCAUAUUCAGAAAAAGAAGCUACUAUGAUGAAGCAAAAAUCUGAGCUUGAAGCCAAUCUACACGUCUUAAGUUGUCAAAAGGCAGUUGCAGCCGCAGAAGCAGAGGCUGCUGUUUAUGAAGAAGAAGAAGAAAGUUUCACAAAAUCUGAAGUAAGACAUUCAAUUGUAGGACAACCUGCCAAUCCAAUGCAACGUACAGCAGAGUUUGUUCAAAGCCAUCCAGACAGCUACUAUGAAAGAUUUUUAUCGAAAAUGGAUCCACUCGCCAGCCACAAAGCAGCACGUGAGCAAUGUGAAAUGGCGAUGAACACAGAAAUAGAUGAGAGAAAUUUUUACAGUGAGAAAAAACCUGACAUCAAAGUGGAGCAGCAAACACAAGAGAGAGAAGAACGCAGUCCACCCAAACUGUACCCGUAUGACACUCUUCCAACUCCGGCAGAGACGCAGGGAAAACAGGACAUCACAUGUUACCUGAGACGGAGAGAAAUGUUGAGUACUGGACUUUUACAGUUUGAUGAUCUCCCAGAGAACUACUGGGCAUGGAAGGCGUCAUUCCAAAAUGCCAUUAAGGACUUGAGAUUAACAGCCCAAGAAGAAAUAGAUUUAAUGAUAAAGUGGCUUGGAAAUGAGUCUCGCCAGCAAGCUAAAAGAAUCCGAUCAGUUCAUGUCUUCAAUCCAACAGCUGCACUUCAUCUUUUGUGGGAACGACUGGAGGAAUGCUACGGGUCACCUGAAGUCAUGGAAAAUGCAUUGCUAAAAAAGAUUGAACAGUUUCCCAAACUUAACAACAGGGACAACACAAAGUUACGAGAGCUAGGUGACAUUCUACAAGAAAUUGAAUGUGCCAAGGACGGAGGAUACUUACCAGGCCUAUCGUAUUUGGACACGUCUCGAGGAGUCAACCCCAUCGUGGACAAGCUACCUUACGGGCUUCAAGACAAGUGGAUCGCUACAGGAGCGAAGUACAAAGAAGAACACAAAGUCGUCUUUCCACCUUUUAGUGUCUUUUCAAAAUUUGUGAGACAACAAGCAAAAAUAAGAAAUGACCCAAGCUUCGUCAUCACAUCUCCUAUCAACACAAGCUUCAAAAAGGAAAAAAGCUUCAAAAGUGAUAACAGGCGAGUGGUUUCCGUGCACAAAACAGACAUUCCAACUGACACCAGUACAGCUCAAAAAUGUUUUAGUAAGCCAGCAGAAAGUCCGGACAAGCUAUGUCCAUUACAUAAGAAACCUCACCCGCUUACAAAGUGCAAAACCUUUAGAGCCAAGCCCAUUGAUGAACGCAAGUCAUUCUUGAAAGACAACAGAAUUUGUUUUAAAUGUUGUAGCUCAACUCAGCAUUUAGCGAAAGACUGUAAUAUGCAAAUUAGGUGCAUGGAAUGUGGCAGCGAAAGACAUUUGACAGCGCUACAUCCAGGUCCACUUCCUGCUCCAGAGGAAAGUUCUGAAGUUGAGAAAGGUGAUGGCGGGGAGACACACGAAGAUGUAAGUGUCUCAGUUGUUUCUAAAUGCACUGAAGUAUGUGGUGAUGCAAACAGCACACUUUCAUGCUCAAAAAUAAGCCCUGUAAUAGUGUACCCAAAGGGUGAGCGAGAUCAAGCAGUAAAGCUAUAUGCUGUACUUGAUGAACAAAGCAACAAGUCGCUUGUCAAGUCUCAGUUUUUCGAGCUCUUCAACAUAGAGACACGCUCGGACACUUAUAAGCUUAGAACAUGCUCAGGCCUGUCAGAUAAUGUCGGCAGAACAGCAUCAAACUUCAUGAUUGAGUCAGUGGAUGGUAGAGUAAAGCUCCCACUCCCAAACCUAAUUGAAUGUGACAUGAUUCCUGACGAUAGAAGAGAGAUCCCAUCUUCACAAGUUGCUAUGCAGUACCCUCACCUGCAAAGGAUAGCAAACAAAAUACCUCCGGUAGAAGAAAAAGUACCAAUCCUAUUGCUCUUGGGACGUGACAUUAUCCAGUUACACAAAGUUCGAGAGAGGAUUAAUGGACCGCGUAGUACCCCCUAUGCACAACGUUUAGACUUGGGUUGGGUUAUAGUUGGUGAAACCUGCCUGGGUAAGACGCACAAACCUCCAAACGUGAACGUCCUCAAAACAAACGUUCUUCAGAAUGGCCGUGCUUCUUACUUCAGCCCAUGUCCUAACACCUUUCAAAUCAAAGAGUCGAAUGGUUUUAGUAGCCAGUCAAACACUAAACCAACUUCCCAAAACGAACGUAAAAAUACAAACACGGAUCAGCUGGGACAAACUGUUUUUGAGAGAACCAAAGAUGACGACAAACCGGCACUCUCAAUAGAAGACAAAUAUUUUCUUGACAUUAUGGAAAAAGAAGUAUAUCAAAAUGAAGAUAACAGCUGGGUGGCGCCAUUGCCAUUCCAAUCUCCAAGACCAAAGCUUCCAAGUAACAAGGAGCAAGCACUCAAACGUCUCCAGUCACUCAGAAAAACACUGGACCGAAAUCCUGAAAUGAAAAAACAAUACGUGGAGUUUAUUCAAAACAUGCUGGACAACGACCACGCGGAGAUCGCUCCAAUUUUGGACUCAAACAAAGAACAUUGGUACUUACCAUCAUUUGGUGUGUAUCAUCCUCAAAAACCUAACCAAUUAAGGGUAGUUUUUGAUUCAAGUGCAGAGUUCGAAGGUCAGUCACUUAACAAAGUGUUACUAAGUGGACCGGACUUGAACAACACGCUACUAGGCGUUCUUAUGCGUUUUAGAAAAGAGUCUGUAGCAUUUUCUGCUGAUGUGCAACAAAUGUUUUAUUGCUUUCAAGUCAGAGAAGAUCAUAGGGAUUAUUUAAGAUUCCUUUGGUAUGAGAAUAAUGACAUGAGUAAAAGUGUAUGUGAUUAUAGAAUGAAGGUCCACGUUUUUGGAAAUAGUCCGUCUCCGGCUGUGGCUAUUUAUUGCAUGAGGCGCGCUGCAGUCGAGGGAGAGGAGGAGCAUGGACUGGAUGCAAAACAGUUUGUAAUGAGACAUUUUUAUGUUGAUGAUGGCCUUGCGUCCACAGCAAGCUCAGAAGAAGCUGUUGAAAUACUGACAAAUGCACAAAACAUGUUGGCCCAGUCAAAUUUAAAGCUGCACAAAAUAGCCUCCAACGACAGCAAAGUAGUUGAAGCAUUUCCUGUCGCCGAGAGAGCGAAGGAUCUAAAAGACUUGGAUUUAGAAUUUGACAACAUACCCUUACAAAGAAGUUUAGGGGUGUUGUGGGAUCUUGAAAAUGACUGUUUUACUUUUCAUGUCAACACUGAUCAAAAGCCAUAUACUAGAAGAGGUGUUUUGGCUACAAUUAACAGUUUGUAUGAUCCGCUAGGAUUCGUGUCUCCCAUAACAAUGCAGGGAAAAGCUCUUCUACGUGAACUGUCAGCAGAGCAAAAGGACUGGGAUGAACCACUUCCCAUUGAAAGAGAAGAGGAGUGGAACAAAUGGAGAACCUCGUUGAAGCACCUCGAGCAGCUACAGAUACCAAGGUGCUACCUACCUUUUUCUCAGACCACUGCUGUGAGGAAAGAACUGUGCAUAUUCUCAGAUGCCUCCACCAUGGCCAUAGGAGCAGUAGCGUAUCUGAGAGCGCUCAACACUGAAGGUCAGUGGCACACAGGUUUCAUCAUGGGAAAGUCCAAAGUGGCCCCCCGACCUGCUCACACUAUCCCUAGGUUGGAACUGUGCGCAGCAGUAUUGGCUGUAGAAAUGUAUGAACUCAUUACAGAUGAGAUUGACAUUGAAGUGGACAUUGUCAGAUUUUUUACAGACAGCAAAAUCGUCCUAGGUUACAUACAUAACAACACAAAGAGAUUUUACACGUACGUAGCAAACAGAGUGAACAGGAUUAGAAAAACCACACAUCCUGCACAAUGGUUUUACAUUAACACAGAUGACAAUCCAGCAGACAAGGCCACAAGAUCAAUUGCAGCUCCUGCAUUGACUUAUACAAACUGGUUUAGUGGUCCUUCCUUUUUGACACAGCCGAGUACAGACACGUCACACUGUGACACAUUUGCUCUCAUCGAACCUGACGCAGAUGCAGAGAUUAAACCUGAAAUCAAGACAUUUGUUACUCAAGCUUCAGUAACACAGUUCGAGUCACGUCGUUUUGAAAGAUUUUCUCAUUGGAUGAGAUUAUGCCACACUGUUGCAUCAUUAAAACGUGUAACAGCAUCUUUCAAGAAAACAAACUCAGAAAGUAAAGGCUGGAAGUGUUUCAGUGUAACUAACACCCCAAAUGAGCUCGAGAAAGCAGCGAAAUUCAUCAUUCACACAGUUCAGACUGAAACAUUCAAAGAAGAGUACAGGUGCAUAAAAGCAAACAAGCCACUUCCAAACCUAAGCUGUCUCAAAAAGUUAAAUCCAAUCAUCGAUGAAGAUGGGCUCCUCAGAAUAGGAGGACGCUUGGCACCUGCAAAUUUGACAAAAGAGGAAAAACAUCCACUCAUCAUCCCAAAUGCUCACCAUGUAGCCGUCCUUCUUAUCAGAUACUAUCAUGAGAAGGUAGCACAUCAGGGACGCCACCUAUCAGAGGGUGCGCUCAGAGCAGCUGGAUUUUGGAUCAAAGGCAGUAAAAGACUCGUCUCUUCUGUAAUUCACAAGUGUGUUCUCUGUCGAAAGCUUAGAGGACAACUACAGACACAAAAGAUGGCGGAUUUACCCAUUGACAGACUUACACCUAUGCCCCCAUUCACCAGCGUAGGACUGGACGUUUUUGGCCCCUGGUCAGUCAUCACACGUCGCACCAGAGGAGGAAAUGCAGACAGUAAACGCUGGGCUGUACUUUUCACCUGUAUGUCCACAAGAGCUGUGCACAUUGAACUCAUAGAAUCAAUGUCAACAUCCAGCUUCAUUAACGCAUUAAGAAGAUUUUUCAGCAUCCGUGGACCAGCUCAAAUACUUCGUUCGGACAGAGGUACCAACUUUGUUGGCGCAUGCAACGAACUCAAAAUUGAUCACAAAGACACAGAACUGACCUCCUACCUACAGGAGAAAGGAUGUACAUGGCUUUUCAACUCCCCACACUCCUCACAUAUGGGAGGGGCAUGGGAAAGACUCAUCGGAGUCGCACGACGAAUCCUGGAUGGAAUUCUUUUAAAAGCCACACAUGUCCAACUCACUCAUGAAGUGCUGAGUACUUUCAUGGCGGAAGUAAUGGCAAUAAUGAAUGCGAGACCACUCGUACCAGUAUCAACAGAUCCAGACAAACCAAACCUUCUCACACCAGCAACUCUUCUAACCCAAAAGACCAACACGUUAACUGCCCCAACAGGAAACUUUGCACCUCCCGACCUCUACGCAAAGCAGUGGAAGCAAGUGCAGUGCAUGGCGGACACUUUUUGGAAACAGUGGAGAAGUGAAUACCUUUCCUCUCUGCAACAAAGGAGAAAAUGGACAGACGAUAAACCAAACAUAAAAACUGGUGACAUUGUGCUAUUGAAGGAUGUUCUUGCACAUAGAAAUGACUGGUGUAUGGGAAGAGUUGUGAAAACAUUUGAGAGUAAAGACAAUAAGGUUCGAAAAGCAGAAGUUAAAACUGUGAAAGAUGGAAAUGUGAAAUUGUUUAUGAAACCAAUUUCAGAUUUGGUUUUGCUACUACCAGUUGAGAAGUAAUCUCGUAUGUUGUUGUAAUUGUUCAAAACAAAAAAAAAGUGUUUUGUAGUGGCACAAUUGUAUUGUACCAGGCGAGGAGUGUUCUGCCUUUUGGUGAGUUUUGUAGAAGGCUUUUUUGUGCUGUCCAGCAGCGAACUCUAGUGGUCGCCUCGCGACAUGGUUUUUUGUUUUUCUAGCCAAUUCAAUAUGGCUGCACGACGUCUCUGGCUGAAGCCUAAGUUGCAACGUUGUGCUCACAUGAUCCUUGGACAAGAUUUGUCCGACCAAAUAUCAGAUCACGAAGGUACGACGGAUGGCUGGAUUGCAGCGGUUCGUCGGAAAAGCAUUUAUGAUCAUAUUUCUGCUGGAAUGAGAGUGUAUUCCCCUCAUCUCUACUCUUGUAAGUUGAACGAUUUAUCCGUUUUGGUUUCAAUACGUUUUUUGUUUUUGUUUUUUUCUUUACUGUUGUGUAAAUCUGCCUCGGUAGCAAUGCUAACCUACUCCUCCUCAUCACCUACCUGUUGUGUUACUAGGAAAACCUGCAUAUGAAAUGCUGACAACACAUCCCGAUUGGUCACCAUAUCUCUUCUUGGGUUAUUCUGAGGUCAAGCGCACCACAUCGGAGCGUUGAGAGGUUGGAAAGGCGAAGAGUGCACGCUGAAACUUCAGUUUGCUCUGCUCUUACAAACACGAUCCCAAGUGUUAUGAAAAGUCAAUAAAAUAUGAAUACCAAAACAUGACUUGAACAACUUCUUGACAAACUGUAACUGCUUGUUGUUUACUUCAGGUCUUCAUAAUAAACAGGUGUAAUAAUUACAAAGUCAGGUGACUUAAUUUUGUUAUUCUAUUUGGAAUAUGCAUUGACAAUUUUUGGACAGUGUUGUAGACAAGAACUGGGACUGAUAAGUUGCAAUAGAUUUAUUUCAAGUAAUGCAAUUUCUCCAAUACGAUAUUUGAAUUGACAGUUUAAAAUCUUUAAAUUAGUGCAAACAAGGCCCACCCUCUGACGGUGGCAGCAAAUAUUAUAUAAGUAAUACACAAAUACAAGAUCACAAUAAACGUGUCUUUGUCAAAGCAGUUUAAAACACUAUUUACUGGCCUUGGGUAAAUUGCCAGACAGGAUAAAUAUGUGCUUUAAAGUUCUUGCAUUUCCAUUUUAAGUAUUGCAAGUACUAGUCUCCAACACAGUAUUUGAACUGACAGUUUAAAAUCAUUUUAGUACAAAAUGGCCCACACUCUGGCAGGGGGCAGCAAAUAUUAUAAUACAUUAUAAAAAGCUAUAUACUAUAUAAAUACAAGAUCACAACAAAACCUGUAUUUUUCAAAGCAGUUAAAAAACAUCCAGUGGCCUUAGGUAAAUAAAGGUGUAUAAAUAUGUACUUUACAGUUCUUGCAUUUCUAUUUUAGGUAUUGCAACUUUUCCAACACUAUUUGAAUUGACAGUCUGAAGUCUACAUAAGUGCAAAUAAGAAUAUUAUAAUUUAAAAAUAAUAAUAGAAUAUAUAAAUUCAACAUUACAAUGAAAGGUGUCUUUGUCAAAGUGG